CCAGUCGGCCGGACAGCCGCUGCCGCAAGUGCCGAAAGGCCGCGGGGGAGGAAAGUCCGGGCUCCAUGGAGACACGGUGCCGGGUAACGCCCGGCGAGGGCGACCUUAGGGAAAGUGCCACAGAAAGCAAACCGCUCCGGCUUUGCCGGGGUAAGGGUGAAAGGGUGGGGUAAGAGCCCACCGCGCCUCUGGUAACAGCGGCGGCACGGUAAACCCCACCGGGAGCAAGACCGAAUAGGGACAACGCGGACCCUGGAGCAAUCCAGGGCCCAGGCCGGUUUCCAGGCCAGUUGUCCGGGUUGGUUGCGUGAGGCGUCUGGCAACAGACGUCCCAGAUGAAUGGCUGUCACGUCCGCGCAGAUCUUCGGAUUGGCGUGGGCCAUACAGAACCCGGCUUAUAGGCCGACUGGCAUU
rfam:Labrenzia alexandrii DFL-11 scf_1101159010753 genomic scaffold, whole genome shotgun sequence.